UACGGAGGGGGCUAGCGUUGUUCGGAAUUACUGGGCGUAAAGCGCGCGUAGGCGGCUUUGUAAGUUAGAGGUGAAAGCCCGGAGCUCAACUCCGGAAUUGCCUUUAAGACUGCAUCGCUAGAAUCAUGGAGAGGUGAGUGGAAUUCCGAGUGUAGAGGUGAAAUUCGUAGAUAUUCGGAAGAACACCAGUGGCGAAGGCGGCUUACUGGUCCGGUUCUGACGCUGAGGCGCGAAAAGCGUGGAGAGCAAACAGG
rnacentral:rRNA from 1 species